GUAAUCCCCAAAGUCAAGGUUUUUGCUUCCCUGCGCCCCCCCCCCCACAAGGGAGAGGGUUUCGGGCGGGGAACGUGUCAAAAAAGGCGAAGAAAUAAAAACAGGUUCGUCGACCGGAGACGUCUCUAACGACACAGGCCUAGAAUGGGAUCGUCAGGGGCCCCCCAGUCUCCGGCCAGACAGGAUUCCUCAGGUAGGAGGGCCGCCACCAGAGCCACAGGUGUCAGCGACAACAGCGAGGACCUAGAACCUCGGCGCAGGCACCGGCACGCUCACAAGCAGAAUGCGCAGCGGGAUCGCAUCACAGGCUCCCGAGUCCCUUCGAGCCCUGAUCACGGGGGUCUGGGAUCCCCGCGACACUCACCUGCGGCGCAGAGGCUCUCGGGAAACCGCCCACUGCCGGGCGUAGCGGGGGAGAGCCGAGCGGGGUUCUGGGCAGCGAGGAAGGAGGGCCCUGCCCUGUUCUGCCCCAGCCACCCUGCUGUCUGCUCACGGACCUAGCGCUGUCUGGUCCAACCGUCACGAGCCCCAGAUGCUGCUUCAAGUAGCCCAGACUUUGAAGGCAGACCCGCCAGGGUCACUUCCGGUGCCAAGACUGGCCUCGGUGACUCCAGCGCACGCGGGGCAACGCCCCGGGAGCGAGGACGCCAGGCGGCGUGCGCGCGCCGGGCGCCGGCUUGGCGGGGCGGACGGAGGUGGGCGGGGNNNNNNNNNNNNNNNNNNNNNNNNNNNNNNNNNNNNNNNNNNNNNNNNNNNNNNNNNNNNNNNNNNNNNNNNNNNNNNNNNNNNNNNNNNNNNNNNNNNGGUGGGCGGGGCCGACGGGCGCGCCUGCGCACUCCCGGGCACCGUGUCCCCUGCGGACAGGUCACGCCGAUAGAUGGUAAUAAGUCAAGUAAGUACUAGUUACUUAUAAAACGCUUCCAGUUCCCCGAUGUUUUCUGAAAUGCUUUGCUCACUUUUCCUCCCACUUGAUUUUCAUCACGCUGCUCAGAGGUUAGGAGAUUAGAGUUUCCAUUUUACUGGUGAAUGUCAAGGGUCAUACAGUUCGUUUAUGACAAAUCCGGUUUUAGAACCAAACACUCAGAAUUUGGCUGCGGCGCUUCUAGCGGUAUUACAUGAAUACUGUAAAAUAGAGAAUGAGUGACCAAAGAUAUUCGGACACAAUGCUAGUGAAAUUUUAUUUUCUUUUUUUGGUCAAUGUUUUAAUGCAACCAAACUACAAACACAGUUAUGAUGUUCCACGAUGUAUAGAAAUACACGUAAUGGACAGUUAGUACUUGUGGACAGGCUUCCUCCAGCCUUAAUCUCCAGGCUUUUCCUUCACUAAGGUGAAAUAGACGCACUUAAGACGCAGUUUCCUCUAGAAGAGCUUGGUAAUUAAAAUUCUGAUUUUAAAGCAUCCCUGCUUUUAAAAAUAUUUAACAUACUAAUUUUACAUCCCCUAAUUUAACACAGACUUAUAUAAAGGCAAUUCAAGGGAAAUACAUCCAUUCAGUCCACAGAUGUUUAUUAAUCGAGUACUUAUGUGCCAGGCGGCACUGUAGGCAUUGAGUUUAUACAUGGUCAACAAAAUAGGAUGUUUCAUGAAGCUUAAAGUCUUGNNNNNNUCUCAACUAAGUAGAAAAAAAGUUUUGCUAUGAUGCAUGUAAACUGUAUUGUAAUGUUAAAGUAUAAUUAGUAUAAGAAGAUACAGUGUAUCUUUUUGAAAUGAAGAAAUAAUUCAAUGAGGUACAGAUUAAUUGCCUUAGACUGAAUUAAACUUCAUUUUUUUCUGAGUGAAAAGGUAUGUUGAAAACUUCUCAGAGGGCAUGAAAUGAAUACAUAUUACAUUAUUUCAUUUAUGUACAAUUCAAGAACAGGCAAAACUAGCCUAUAUUAACAGAAAGAGGCUGGAUUGGGGGCUGGGAGAAAUGAGGGGAAAGAUUAGACUACCAGAAGGCAUGAGGAAGUGUUUUUCAGGUGAUGGAAAUGUUCUGUAUCUCAAUUAGUACAGUGGCUAAGGAGGUGUGUAUGUUCAUUAAAACUCAUUGAACAGUACACAUAAAAUGGGUACAUUUUACUGUACAUAAUUUAUACCUCAAUGAAGUUAAUUUAAAAAUCCCAUCCAACUAGUGGCUUACACUACUGUUUCUUACUGGUUGUACUAAUCUGGGGAGACUAGGGUAUUCUGUUGUUUUAGUCAUUAAAGAGUAUUCUGUAGUAACCUCUACAUUGAAGAGGUUUCAAACACCAGGAAAUUUUUUCUUCUCAUUUCCUCUGUAUGUUCAUGUAGAGUGGAGGCAGGCACUGGGGACAUUGAACAGUUGAAAACAGAAAACGAGAUAAUUUGUCUAACUUCUGCCUGGGUAUGAGAUGUGCCAACUCUGCCCACAUUUCACUGGCCAGAGCAAGUCAUGUGGCCAAGGCUGACUUCAAAGUGAUGGGACAUUGAGAAACAUAUUUGUGUUCCGCCUUCAUGACUACUACACUAGUCAUUUCUUCUUUUACAGUGUGGUUUCUACAACCUCCACCCCUCUAAAAUGAUCGUAUCCAAACUGGGACUCAGAGCAACUAGAGAUGAGUUUUUCCUGGUGUAUGGUGACAUUGAUUCAGUAGGAUCAUAAGAUACAUACAAGAAAGUUAACAAAAAUUAGGUUAAAAAGGUAAGCGCUUACAGUAAAGAGUUCAAAUUUUAUUCAGUAGGUGUCAAGGAACCAUUCAAAGUUCAAAUGAAUGCAUAAUAUAUAAAGGAAUAGAAAGAUUAAUUUGAUAACUA
ensembl:lncRNA